UUGAAAUAUAUGGAUUCCUACGGGAGGCAGCAGUGAGGAAUAUUGGGCAAUGGGGGCAACCCUGACCCAGCAAUGCCGCGUGCAGGAGGACGCCCUUCGGGGUGUAAACUGCUUUUGUGGGGGAGCAGACAAGGAGCGUACCCCACGAAUCAGUCACGGCUAACUACGUGCCAGCAGCCGCGGUAAUACGUAGGGUGCGAGCGUUGUCCGGAAUUAUUGGGCGUAAAGAGCUCGUAGGCGGUUUGUCGCGUCGGCCGUGAAAACUUGGGGCUUAACCCCGAGCCUGCGGUCGAUACGGGCAGACUUGAGUUCGGCAGGGGAGACUGGAAUUCCUGGUGUAGCGGUGAAAUGCGCAGAUAUCAGGAGGAACACCGGUGGCGAAGGCGGGUCUCUGGGCCGAUACUGACGCUGAGGAGCGAAAGCGUGGGGAGCGAACAGGAUUAGAUACCCUGGUAGUCCACGCCGUAAACGAUGGGUACUAGGUUUGGUGGGUCUUGACCCCCGCCGAACCGGCGCUAACGCACUAAGUACCCCGCCUGGGAAGUACGGUCGCAAGACUAAAACUCAAAGGAAUUGACGGGGGCCCGCACAAGCGGUGGAUCAUGUGGUUUAAUUCGAAGCAACGCGAAGAACCUUACCUGGGUUUGACAUCCUCUGACAUCCGUAGAGAUACGGCUUUCGUAGCAAUACGACAGAGAGACAGGUGCUGCAUGGCUGUCGUCAGCUCGUGUGGUGACAUGUUGGGUUAAGUCCCGCAACGAGCGCAACCCUUGUCCUUAGUUGCCAGCAUUUAGUUGGGCUCUCUAAGGAGACUGCCGUGGUUAACACGGAGGAAGGUGGGGAUGACGUCAAGUCCUCAGGCCUUUAUAUCCAGGGCGACACACGUGAUACAAUGGACGGUACAGAGGGAAGCGAAAGCGCGAGCUGGAGCCAAUCUCAAAAAGCCGUUCUCAGUUCGGAUUGGAGUCUGCAACUCGACUCCAUGAAGUUGGAAUCGCUAGUAAUCGCGGAUCAGCACGCCGGGGUGAGUUUACCCGGGCCUUGUACACACCGCCAUCGGAUCC
rnacentral:rRNA from 1 species